CUGGCCUCGGUACGGACGGGGAACCGUGUGUAUUGUGAACGGGCUCCUGCGUCGGCCCGAGGCCAG
rfam:Murid herpesvirus 1 strain N1, complete genome